AGCAGUCGCCGCGGGAAUACGUAGGGUGCGAGCGUUGUCCGGAAUUACUGGGCGUAAAGCGCACGUAGGCGGCUUUGUAAGUUAGAGGUGAAAGCCCAGAGCUCAACUCUGGAAUUGCCUUUAAGACUGCAUCGCUUGAAUCCAGGAGAGGUGAGUGGAAUUCCGAGUGUAGAGGUGAAAUUCGUAGAUAUUCGGAAGAACACCAGUGGCGAAGGCGGCUCACUGGACUGGUAUUGACGCUGAGGUGCGAAAGCGUGGGGAGCAAACAGGAUUAGAUACCCCCGUAGUCCCUGUCUCUUAUAC
rnacentral:rRNA from 1 species